rnacentral:rRNA from 1 species
UGGGGAAUUUUGCACAAUGGGGGCAACCCUGAUGCAGCGACGCCGCGUGAUUUAGAAGGCCUUCGGGUUGUAAAAAUCUUUUGUAUAGGAAGAAAAUGACAGUACUAUACGAAUAAGGUCCGGCUAAUUACGUGCCAGCAGCCGCGGUAAUACGUAAGGACCGAGCGUUGUCCGGAAUCAUUGGGCGUAAAGGGUACGUAGGCGGUUAAAAAAGUUAGAAGUGAAAGGCUAUAGCUCAACUAUAGUAAGCUUUUAAAACUGUUUAACUUGAGAGAUGGAAGGGAAAGUGGAAUUCCUAGUGUAGCGGAGAAAUGCGCAGAUAUUAGGAGGAAUACCGGUGGCGAAGGCGACUUUCUGGCCAUUAUCUGACGCUGAGGUACGAAAGCGUGGGUAGCAAACAGG